rnacentral:tRNA from 1 species
GCCCGGGUGGCGAAAUUGGUAGACGCACAGGACUUAAAAUCCUGAGACCCCAAAAGGGUCGUGCCGGUUCGAUUCCGGCCCCGGGCA